rnacentral:rRNA from 1 species
UAUAUCGGAACGUGCCCUAGAGUGGGGGAUAACGUAGCGAAAGUUACGCUAAUACCGCAUACGAUCUACGGAUGAAAGCGGGGGAUUCGCAAGAACCUCGCGCUCCUGGAGCGGCCGAUAUCUGAUUAGCUAGUUGGUAGGGUAAAGGCUCACCAAGGCGACGAUCAGUAGCUGGUCUGAGAGGACGACCUGCCACACUGGAACUGAGACACGGUCCAG